UACGUAGGGUGCGAGCGUUAAUCGGAAUUACUGGGCGUAAAGCGUGCGCAGGCGGUUCGCCAAGUCAGGUGUGAAAUCCCCGGGCUUAACCUGGGAAUUGCGCUUGAAACUAGCUGGCUUGAGUGUGGCAGAGGGGGGUGGAAUUCCACGUGUAGCAGUGAAAUGCGUAGAGAUGUGGAGGAACACCGGUGGCGAAGGCGGCCCACUGGUCCGGUACUGACGCUGAGGUGCGAAAGCGUGGGGAGCAAACAGG
rnacentral:rRNA from 1 species